GUUGGCAACACGUAUGAUAAAUGCUCUUUCACAAAAUGGAGCAUGUACUUUUAAGCUCCACAAAAGUUGGCAACAAACUUGCCAAAAAUCCUGGCACUCAAUUUAUGUGGUUUACCUAACGUAGUUUGCUGAAUAUAUGUUUCUCUCUAUAUAAUAGAAUUAAUAGGAUUCUUGCUUAUUUCUUACUAAACUAUUUUUUAGGUCCUAUCAAAUACGCUUCUUCUCUCUAUAUCGAAUAUUGAACAAUAAAGAGCACAACAUGGCUGGUCAUAUACACACUGUACAAUUUAUUUUUGAAAUUGUAGGUGGGUUAAUUAAUUCAUUAAUUUCUGAUGUUGUUUUUCUAAUUUGCAUUUGCUUCUCUUCUUCUUUUUUUUCCGCUAAUUAACAGGAAAUGUCGCUACACUUUUUCUCUUCUUUGUACCAAUGCUUACAUUCAAGAGGAUCAUCAAAAACAAAUCGACAGAUCAGUUCUUUAAGAUACCUUAUGUUACAGCAUUUCUCAACUGCAUGCUUUCUGGAUGGUAACUAUUUAUACCCUCUACUUAAAUUUUUUUAUUCAAUAUUGACUUGACAUAUCUCGGUAAUAAAUAGAAUGACAAUUUCAUUAUAUCUAUUUUUUUAAUAUAAUAAAUUUAAUAUUUUAAAAAGUACAUUGAAAUUAAUACUUAAUAAUAAAAAUAAAUGAGAAACUACGUGAUAAUGAUGAUACUACUACAUUAUUGGUAAAACAUCUAUUUAAGGAUUGAAUACAAAUACACUUUAAAAAAAUUUAAUGAUUUGCCUGAUGUUCUAGAACGGUUUUGUUCCAAUGCACAUUUGAAAUUUUUGUCAUAAUUAAUUUUUUACAUUUUCGUUCAUUUAUGAACUAGUUUUAUGAUACGAGUACGAUCAUGACCUGGGGCACUUUUUGAGUAUUUUGAAGAUCACCUAAAAGGGGGCACAAGCCCAAGUGUGAAGAAGGCCUAAACCUGCCCCUAAAGUGCACUUAAUGGGCGGUUUGGAGCCCAUUAAUGAAAGGACCCUUUAGUCUUUUGUCUCUUAUUUUGUAAUGUAAUAUAAAUGAAACAUUAUAGGGAUUCUAGUUCUUUAGUUGCUUAAUGAUAUUGAAAGAACACUCCUCUUAAAGAGAGAGAGUCCCAAAACCGUAACUAGGGUCAUAUACAAGUGUGGAAUCACUUGUGUGUUGCAUUGCUUGAUAAAUUGGUGCUUGGGUGGUGAACGCCUCUCUUUUGUCAAUUGUAAGGGAUAGGUGAUUGUAGUGUGUAGUGUUAAGGGUCCAAGAGUGUCAUAUAUUCUUGGGUUCUUAAGAUUAUACCUCUAUUUGUCUAUCUUUCUAUCUUUAUUUUGUUGUAACCGUUGGUAGUUUUCUUGUUGUGUAACCUUAUAAUCGUUCUAUUAUUGUAAUCUUAUUGUGUUGCUCAUCUUAUUCUUGUUGUUACAUUAGUUUGGGUUGGCUGUUUUGGUGUCAAAUACACCAUUAUAUCUUGUA